UUGGCGGUGAGCUGUCUGUUGGCUGG
rnacentral:piRNA from 1 species